UCUCUCCCUCUCUCUCUCUCUCUGCAUCUACCCCUCUCUGUCUGUCUGUUUCUCUCCCCCUACACCUCUCUCUCAACUUCUAUUUCCGUCUCUCUGUCUGUCUGUCUGUCUCUUUCUCUCUCUCUCUCUCUCCCUCUCCAUCUAUCUCCCUCUGUCCGUCUGUCUGUCUGUCUGUCUGUCUCUGCCUUUGUUUUUCUCUCUCUCUUUCGUUCGUAUACAUGGUAGUGAAAGAUAACACCAAGCUUGAUUUAUCGUUCAAUUUUCAUAGACGGGUUUGAUGAUGUGGAUUGUUACCGGAAAAAUGGGGGUGCAAAUGAGGCGGUGGUAAGGAGGGACAACAAGUCUGCAAUUGCCCUGACAGAACUGAUAAAGACAGGGACUACUCCAGAGGACACUAUUAACAAACCAGCAGUGCCACAGCCAACCGAGACGGACCCACAUUCUGUUGUGGAACCACUGAGAGAGCAGACGGGCACAGACGAGUCCGCUGAAGUCAUGGACAACGUGGACACAGGGUUCACAAGAUAUUGGUCAUUUCCUGCACGAGAGGGCAUAUGAAGAAAAACAUUCGGACAGUGUGAGAAAUCUGGUAUUAAAAUAAGGUUGGAGCUGGAAUUCUUGGACUCUGGGAUGUCAGUAGGUUUUGGUGAACACAGCAUGCAUCGCAUUAUGAAACUAUUCUUUUUGACAUCUUGGAGUGAAAACAUAGACUGAACUUGAGGUCAUGGCUGAUCUUCCUCCGUUAAUUCGCACACGUCUUCCUCUGCUUCAGCUUCAUCAUCUUCCUCUGGACGGGGUAAACAUAAGCAGGAGAUCCGUAACAGACUCUCGCGAAGCAGCCUCUCCAAAGUCUCGCGAGACUUGCGAACAAGCCAUAUAAACUAAUUAUCUUAAAAAUCUCAUAUUAAUUAUUAACAUUUGACAGUAACGAAGGAACGCCGCCAAAUGUAGCGAAGUAAAAGUAAAACUUUUUCACUAAAAUGUACUUGAGUAAAAGCAAAAGUACACAUCUUUAAAUAUACUCUAAAAGUACAAGUUACCCAAAAAACUUACUCCAGUAAAUAUAACGAAGUAAAUGUAAUUCGUUAACCACCGCUGACUAUGUCUAACUACAUAAAACUAUGUGGAACUGUGGAACUACAUGGAACUAUGUGUACCUACAUGGAACAAUGUAGAACUGUGGAACUACAUGGAA